rnacentral:rRNA from 1 species
GAUGAACGCUGGCGGCGUGCCUAAUACAUGCAAGUCGAGCGAACGGACGAGAAGCUUGCUUCUCUGAUGUUAGCGGCGGACGGGUGAGUAACACGUGGAUAACCUACCUAUAAGACUGGGAUAACUUCGGGAAACCGGAGCUAAUACCGGAUGAUAUUUUGAACCGCAUGGUUCAAAAGUGAAAGACGGUCUUGCUGUCACUUAUAGAUGGAUCCGCGCUGCAUUAGCUAGUUGGUAAGGUAACGGCUUACCAAGGCAACGAUGCAUAGCCGACCUGAGAGGGUGAUCGGCCACACUGGAACUGGGACACGGUCCAGACUCCUACGGGAGGCAGCAGUAGGGAAUCUUCCGCAAUGGGCGAAAGCCUGGCGGAGCAACGCCGCGUGAGUGAUGAAGGUCUUCGGAUCGUAAAACUCUGUUAUUAGGGAAGAACAUAUGUGUAAGUAACUGUGCACAUCUUGACGGUACCUAAUCAGAAAGCCACGGCUAACUACGUG